rnacentral:rRNA from 1 species
CCUACGGGGGGCUGCAGUGGGGAAUAUUGGACAAUGGGGGCAACCCUGAUCCAGCCAUGCCGCGUGUGUGAAGAAGGCCCUCGGGUUGUAAAGCACUUUCAGUGAGGAAGAACGCCUGGUGGUUAAUACCCAUCAGGAAAGACAUCACUCACAGAAGAAGCACCGGCUAACUCCGUGCCAGCAGCCGCGGUAAUACGGAGGGUGCGAGCGUUAAUCGGAAUUACUGGGCGUAAAGCGGCGCGUAGGUGGCUUGAUAAGCCGGUUGUGAAAGCCCCGGGCUCAACCUGGGAACGGCAUCCGGAACUGUCAAGCUAGAGUGCAGGAGAGGAAGGUAGAAUUCCCGGUGUAGCGGUGAAAUGCGUAGAGAUCGGGAGGAAUACCAGUGGCGAAGGCGGCCUUCUGGACUGACACUGACACUGAGGUGCGAAAGCGUGGGUAGCAAACAGGAUUAGAUACCCUGGUAGUC